ACUUAGUAUGGUGGUUAUGACACUUGGCUUGGAACCGAGUAUGCUCGGGUUCGAAUCCCGAAUAAAGUA